rnacentral:rRNA from 1 species
UACGGGGGGAGCAAGCGUUGUUCGGAUUUACUGGGCGUAAAGGGCGCGUAGGCGGUCAGCACAAGUCAGUUGUGAAAUCUCCGGGCUUAACCCGGAAAGGUCAACUGAUACUGUGCGACUAGAGUGCGGAAGGGCAACUGGAAUUCUUGGUGUAGCGGUGAAAUGCGUAGAUAUCAAGAGGAACACCUGCGGCGAAGGCGGGUUGCUGGGCCGACACUGACGCUGAAGCGCGAAAGCCAGGGAGCAAACGGG